rnacentral:lncRNA from 1 species
UGGUCCUUGUGUAGCUGCUCUUUCUUUCGUCCAUGCAUUGAGUGGAUGUGACACUUUGUCGAAAUGUCGUGGGAAAGGGAAAAGGUCAGCUUGACGUUCUUUUUUGGCUUAAGUAUGAAGCGAGGCACGAUGUGAAUUGUUUGCCAGGAAGCAACGGCAUUAUGAUGCAAUUCCGCCUACAAGAGGUUCUUUUCCAGAGCACAUCAAA